rnacentral:rRNA from 1 species
AUUAGAGUUUGAUCAUGGCUCAGGAUGAACGCCGGCGGCGUGCUUAACACAUGCAAGUUGAACGAAGCUUAUAGCACCGAUUCCUUGGGGGAGAAGCGGUAUGAGACUUAGUGGCGAACGGGUGAGUAACACGUGAGCAACCAACCCCUUACAGUGGAAUAACAACGGGAAACCGUUGCUAAUACCGCAUAAUAUCCCUAUAUGGCAUCAUAUGGAGAUCAAAGAUUUAUUGGUGAGGGACGGGCUCGCGUCCGAUUAGGUAGUAGGUAAGGUAACGGCUUACCUAGCCGACGAUCGGUAGCCGGACUGAGAGGUCGAUCGGCCACAUUGGGAGUGAGACACGGCCCAGACUCUUACGGGAGGCAGCAGUGGGGAAUAUUGGGCAAUGGGGGCAACCCCGACCCAGCGACGCCGCGUGAAGGAUGAAGGCCUUCGGGUUGUAAACUUUUUUGGAUGGGGACGAAGAAAUGACGGUACCCAUCGAACAAGCCACGGCUAACUACGUGCCAGCAGCCGCGGUAAUAAU